CCAGGGUAUAUGUAUGACUCAGGUGUGUGGUAGAGGGGAUGCUGAAUUCCCAAAGCACGUGUGCAGCAUGAAUGUCCGUGUAAAUGACACCAUCCCAAGAGGCAACUCCUCUGUAACUGACAUUGUUAGACCUUCUAGUUCUACAGCCCAUUUUGAACCACCGUAUGGUAACUAUGGUUCAACUAGUCAAACCUGUAGAACUCACAUCAGCAAGCUGCAGAAAGCUACUCCAUCUGUCCCAAAAACAUGAUACUUUUCUGUAGGGAUGUACAUAAGUCGGGUUGGUUUGGAUUUUGCAAUUACCAAACCCAUUCAGUUGUUUCGGAUUAUUAAAUUUAAAGGCCAGACCAAAUCAAUAAAAAUUGGGUUUUUCAAUCUCGGUUUUUCUCGUGUU
rnacentral:lncRNA from 1 species